ensembl:lncRNA
ACCUCAACCAGUCACUCAACUGCAACAACACCUACAAACCAAUCAACAACAACUGAUACACCCUCAACACAAACUGCACCAAUAUCUACCCCUCUAUCAUCAACACCAACUGCACCAGCAUCUUCAUCGACUGCAUCAAAUAUUUUAUCUACAUCUACACAAGCAACAUAAACCAGUCAAUCAACUUCAACAACACCUACAAACCAAUCAACAACAACUGAUACAUCCUCAACACAAACUGCCCCAACAUCUACCCCUCAGUCAACCACAACUGAUACAUCCUCAUCACAAACUGCACCAACGUCGACCCCUCUAUCAUCAACACCAACUGCACCAGCAUCUUCAUCGACUGCAUCAAAUACUCUAUCUACAUCUACACAAGCAACAUAAACCAGUCAAUCAACUUCAACAACAGCUACAAAUCAAUCAACACCAACUGUAACAUCGACAACAAUAGCACCAACAUCUACCGCUCUAUCAUCAACAACUGCACCAGCAUCUUCAUCAACUGCGACUGCAUCAAAUUUUUGAUCUACAUCUACACAAGCAACAUAAACCAGUCAAUCAACUGCAACGACACCUACAAAACAAUCAACAACAACUGAUCCAUCCUCAACACAAACUGCACCAAUAUCUACCCCUCUAUCAUCAACACCAACUGCACCAGCAUCAUCAACAACUCCAUCAACUACCUCAUUAUCUACAUCUACACAACCAACAUCACCCAGUCAAUCAACUGCAACGACACCUACAAAACAAUCAACAACAACUCUAACAUCGACAUCAAUUCCCCCAACAUCCACCACUCAGUCAACAACAACUGAUACACCCUCAACACAAACUGCACCAAUAUCUACCCCUCUAUCAUCAACAACUGCACCAGCAUCAUCAACAACUCCAUCAACUACCACAGUAUCUACGUCUACACAAGCAACAUCAACCAGUCAAUCAACUGCAACAACACCUACAACUCAAACUGCAACAUCAACAUCAGCUGCACCAUCUACUACAAGAACAACAACUGCACCAACUUCGAGAUCAACUGCAUCAACAUUGAUAUCAGCUGCAUUAACAUCUACUCGAACACCGACACCUACUUCUCAAAUAACAACUCAAGUUAUAUCUACAACUCAAACAGCAAGCAAGUCAACAUCUUCAUCUCCAGAUGUUGUCCCACAAAAUAUGACAGCAUUUGCAUACGCAACCUUUACAUUGAGAUCCUCUGUUGAGCUAAGCAAUGAUGAAAUCAUUACUUAUAUUGAAAAGUUUGUCAAGCCCUUUCAAGCAAACAUUAAUGGGACCAUAAAGAUUACUUUGAAGAAAUCAAGAAAAUUGUUGGCCUAAGGAUCUAAUGGAAAACUUCCCUGCAAUAAUAGCAUGUCGAAGCACUGACAAAUUAUAAUCAAAUGCAUUUGUGUAAAAAAAAAUAAAAAUAAAAAAAAAACACUUACUCA